UACGAAGGGAGCUAGCGUUGCUCGGAAUCACUGGGCGUAAAGGGUGCGUAGGCGGGCCUUUAAGUCAGGGGUGAAAUCCUGGAGCUCAACUCCAGAACUGCCUUUGAUACUGAAGAUCUUGAGUCCGGGAGAGGUGAGUGGAACUGCGAGUGUAGAGGUGAAAUUCGUAGAUAUUCGCAAGAACACCAGUGGCGAAGGCGGCUCACUGGCCCGGUACUGACGCUGAGGCACGAAAGCGUGGGGAGCAAACAGG
rnacentral:rRNA from 1 species